rnacentral:lncRNA from 1 species
UGGAUACUAAUGCACUUAAUUAUUUUUUUUUGAGAGAUAAGUACCACGCCCGCUUCGUUUAUUUCAAAUAAAAAUAAAUUUAGCUGAAAAUAUGAAUCAACUAGAAUUCGAACUAGGGCGUCGGGUACCAACCACCAAAUCCUUUACCACUUGCUCUAGGGACAAUCUGUAAAACACUUAAUUAUUAUGUAUGCUUUCUUUGGAUAGAG